rnacentral:rRNA from 1 species
GGAGGGUGCGAGCGUUAAUCGGAAUUACUGGGCGUAAAGCGCGCGUAGGCGGUUUGUUAAGUCAGCUGUGAAAGCCCCGGGCUUAACCUGGGAACUGCAGUUGAUACUGGCCGACUAGAGUACGAGAGAGGGAGGUAGAAUUCCAUGUGUAGCGGUGAAAUGCGUAGAUAUAUGGAGGAAUACCGGUGGCGAAGGCGGCCUCCUGGCUCGAUACUGACGCUGAGGUGCGAAAGCGUGGGGAUCAAACAGGAUUAGAUACCCUGGUAGUCCACGCCGUAAACGAUGUCUACUAGCCGUUGGGAGACUUGAUUUCUUAGUGGCGCAGCUAACGCAAUAAGUAGACCGCCUGGGGAGUACGGCCGCAAGGUUA